AUUGAACGCUGGCGGCAUGCCUUACACAUGCAAGUCGAACGGCAGCACGGGUGCUUGCACCUGGUGGCGAGUGGCGAACGGGUGAGUAAUAUAUCGGAACGUACCUUAUUGUGGGGGAUAACGCAGCGAAAGCUGUGCUAAUACCGCAUAAUCCCUAAGGGGGAAAGCGGGGGACCGUAAGGCCUCGCGCAAUUAGAGCGGCCGAUACCUGAUUAGCUAGUUGGUGAGGUAAAGGCUCACCAAGGCAACGAUCAGUAGCUGGUCUGAGAGGACGAUCGGCCCCACUGGGACGGAGACACGGCCCAGACUCCUACGGGAGGCAGCAGUGGGGAAUUUUGGACAAUGGGGGCAACCCUGAUCCAGCAAUGCCGCGUGAGUGAAGAAGGCCUUCGGGUUGUAAAGCUCUUUUGUCAGGGAAGAAACAGCAGCUCUAACACAGUAUGCGAAUGACGGUACCUGAAGAAUAAGCACCGGCUAACUACGUGCCAGCAGCCGCCGUAA
rnacentral:rRNA from 1 species